rnacentral:misc_RNA from 1 species
GAUGAAGAACGUAGCGAAAUGCGAUAAGUAAUGUGAAUUGCAGAAUUCAGUGAAUCAUCGAAUCUUUGAACGCACCUUGCGCCCUUUGGCCAUUCCGAAGGGCAUGCCUGUUUGAGUAUCAUGAACACCUCAACUCUUUAUGGUUUUCCAUGAUGAGCUUGGACUCUGGGGGUUUUGCUGGCUCACAGUCGGCUCCUCUAAAAUGAAUCAGCUUACCAGUGUUUGGUGGGUAUCAUGGGUGUGAUAACUAUCUACGCUUGUGGUUUUUCCACCAGGUAACCUUCAGCAGUGGAGGUUCGCUGGAGCUCAUAGAUGUCUCUCCUCAGUGAGGACAGCCCUUUGAAUGUUUGAUCUCAAAUCAGGUAGGACUACCCGCUGAACUUAAGCAUAUCAAAAAGCGGAGGA